rnacentral:rRNA from 1 species
UACGGGGGGCGCAAGCGUUAUUCGGAAUUAUUGGGCGUAAAGGGCGCGCAGGCGGUCUUGUCCGUCAGGUGUGAAAGCUCGGGGCUCAACCCCGGAAGUGCACUUGAAACAGCAAGACUUGAAUACGGGAGAGGAGAGAGGAAUUCCUGGUGUAGAGGUGAAAUUCGUAGAUAUCAGGAGGAACACCGAUGGCGAAGGCAUCUCUCUGGACCGAUAUUGACGCUGAGGCGCGAAGGCGUGGGUAGCGAACGGG